AUAAAGAACCAAUCUCGAUGAAAUAUUAUGACAUCUGAGAUUUGCUUCAAACUAUUCAGCACUGAGAGGGGAGAGGAGGAGGGGAAAGAGACAAAAUAAAACAGACUAUGAUUUGAUCACUGAUAACUGUGGAAGCUGGACUACAGAACAAGGACUAAAUUUGGAGUUCAAACAUGCCUGCCCACACCAAAAGGGGUGCUACAAUUCUGAAGCAACUUUGACUUGCAAGCAACUCAAGGAUGAGGCAGCCUCUUCAUCUUUACAUGCACCCGCCAGACUCAACAUGAUGCUAUGCACCUAAGGGCUAUCUAUCCACGGAGGCUUGGAAAACACUUCUAACUACAACAUUUUGAUUUCAUUAAAAUACCACCAAUUCAUGCUUUACAAGACUUUGUGAAUCCAGGAAAGAAGGACACCGUUAUGUCUAUUUUCAGGUAUAUUCCAUUUAAAGAAUUCUUAUAUUGGGCAUAAACUUGUCAAAACUCUGACCGAAGACAGCUGUCAGGUUCAGUUCACCAUAUGUGGGUCUGGAGAGAACCUGGAACCGCAGAAGGCCUGAGAGGAAAGGACCAGUACUCCUCCAAGUCAGACUCCGUCAUCUCUCUUCCAAAAGAUGUCAACAACCUAACCCAUCUCUCUGCCACUAGACCACCUAAUGACAGUAACCUGCUUUCACCACACUGUUCCUAUACCAUCCUUCAAGGCAGCUAGUUGUUCUGUCCACAAAGCCUUCUCAGACAAUCUUUCCUUCUCCUCUCCCAUCAGGGCUAUCCAGCCAGCGUGCCUCUCUAUGCAAACCACUCCCUCAGAAAUCUGUGCACAGCCCUACCCUGCUCUUAGCAAAAGCAUUGUAACAUGUCCUAAUUAUGUGUCUGUCCUCCUAAGACAGAUAAGGUCCCUGAAGACAAGAAAAAUGUCUUAAUCAUCUUCUCGUGUCAGCAUUCAGCACAGUGCCUGGCACACAGCAGAAACACAGAAAAUGUGCAUCUGAAUGAAUAGAGCCAAGUCGCUGUCCUCCUGUCUUCCCAACUGCUUGCGCUCCUCCUUGGGGGGAACAUUUUCCCAAAGUAUGGCUCCAUCUCUGCUGACCUGCUCUGCUAAAAUGUUCCCUUCCCUGCACCUGAGCUUGCUCUUUUACACCAACACGAGUGUGUCAGUGACCCCUAAAACCACCAAUUCUCACAAGCACCCAACCUUCUCUGCUCAGCAGCAGUGGGCUAAUGAGGGCUGAGCUUGCUAUUUUGAUAAGGAUAAACAUUAACAUAAAAGAGACAAGAAUGCAAAAUAAAAACUCCUUCAGUAUGAAGACAAUCUGGUGGAGAGUGUGUAAAUGAAGAGGGGGAGACAUAGGAGUUAGGAAGAUGACUGAAUGGUUCUCAAGUGUCACAAAAGUAGUGGUCUCUCCCCUCUUGGAAAUCUUCCGUGGAAAAGUCUCAUUUUAGACAAGAGAUGUUUGCUCCCCCUUUGGGAAUAGAUUUCUAACAUUGCAAAGAGAGCCAAUGGGGAAACAUGAUGGAUUGUUACUGAAAUUCACUUUAUAAUUAACUGUACUGUGACAGUGUUGUACAAAGCUUAGGAUACUUAUUGGAAGAAAAUAGCUAUAUUAAUCAAGGCUUGCAAGCAUCAAUCUGACUUACUGGAAGCAAAUCUGAAAUGAAGGUUUUCCUUCUGACUUUUCUUUUGUGCGGAAUCUCUUCCAUUUCAUCAUCUUCCAUCAAAGCGUCAUGGUUGGCGCUCCCUAGUAUGUCCUCUGUCUCUGCAGCGGCUUCUAACCUCUGCUUUUCGGCCUCCUGCAUUCGGAUUACUAUCUCACCAGCAUCCAGGUCCAGAACUUCAGACAAGAUCUUCAGUAUGGCAUUUAUGAUUUCUGCCUGACUCUUGGAUGGAAUAAUGUCCUUUAGGUUCCAAAUUGUGCCUGAGGGGAAAAUGCACAUAAGCACAAAGGACUUGCCUGUGAAAGCUUGUAUUAAAUACAGUUUCUGCAAGAUUGGUUCUUUUAAGCUCAGGUGUAAUUUCAAAAAAAGAAAUCCCAAACCCUCUGCCUGUGUUCAGUUUUUAUUAAAUGUCAAAAAGAAAGAAAGAAAGGAAGAAAUAAAGAAAAAGAGAAAGAAAGCAAGCUUUGCACAGAGGCAGCUCCCUUUAUUACAGUCCUGCAUAAUCAUCUCUCUUCCUUGACACACAAUGCCUCUCGUACACACCGCACAGCAACAGACAGAGAGAAUACUGAUCAACUUUCACAUGAAAUGACAAAUGAAGUUGCCUCAUUCUUUCAUUUUAACCUGAGCUGCCCUCUAGGCAGUUUCUUAUAUUCCAAGAGAGGAAUGAAAUGCACUAAAUUUCCAAGGUCUCAUGGACAAACCAAAGAGUAGGUUCUUGGUUUUUUGCUAAUUUAUCAAAAGAGAAUAGAAGCUACUAUUAAGUAAACAGACAGAUGAAAACAACAACAAAAAAGCCACUGUAAAAUAAAAAUAUAUCCUGGAUAUGAACUCAAAAGAAUUGAAAGCAGGGACUUAAACAGAUAUGUGUACACCCAUAAUCACAGCAGCAUUACUCAAUAGCCACUGACCCAAGUUCCCAUCUGCUAAUGAAUGGUUAAAUAAAAUGUGACACAUACA